rnacentral:rRNA from 1 species
CAGUAGCCACGGGAAUACGUAGGUGGCAAGCGAUGUCCGGAAUUAUUGGGCGUAAAGCGCGCGCAGGCGGAUAGGUCAGUCUGUCUUAAAAGUUCGGGGCUUAACCCCGUGAUGGGAUGGAAACUGCCAAUCUAGAGUAUCGGAGAGGAAAGUGGAAUUCCUAGUGUAGCGGUGAAAUGCGUAGAUAUUAGGAAGAACACCAGUGGCGAAGGCGACUUUCUGGACGAAAACUGACGCUGAGGCGCGAAAGCCAGGGGAGCGAACGGGAUUAGAUACCCCAGUAGUCCCUGUCUCUUAUACC